AGAAGUAUAUUGCUGCUUCCACCAUAAUAGUACUUCUAGCAAGUUCCUCUUGCUUUUAAAAUAAAUGGCAGAGACAUUUUCUGUUGCUGACAGCCAAAGAAUCUCAAUAAAGAGAAUCCAUGAGCUUUUCAUCACUCUGUAUACCUGCUGAGGGCCCUCAAUCUGCUGUGUCAAUCAUGGUUUCAGCACCUGGUAUCAUGCCUCUUACCACACAUAAGGAAAACUCUGAACACAGAAGGCAGGAGAACCACUCAAGCUCCUGUUAAAGGAAAAAUGUAAAGAUGACAGAAAAGGUGCUGCAUAAUUGAAUGGACAAUUCAGAAAGCAUAUGACUAAGCAGAAAACCUGGGAAACAUUCCAUAUUACCAGAUAAGAAGAACACAGGCAUCUGCUCACAGCGGAAACAGGCAGAACUCUCUGUCUCCAGUACACAUUUGCAUGGAGACCAAAGUGGAAAUGGAUGCAGAGGACGUAGGAUAUUACGAGUUGCUCUCUGACAUUUGUUAUCUCUCCUAUACACUCAUUUGGUAUUUUAGGGCAGCUUCCCUGGAAGCGCUGGAUUUAUUGAAGGUGGGCUCCCAGGACAACUCAGAGAGAGG